CAGUUCCCAAGCAGUGGCAUGGAAUGAGAAUGUGGUCUUAGGGCUCUAAUUCUCUAUCAGGGCACUCCUACCUGGAGACCAGCUGAACACAGAGCAAAGUACAAUUUACCAAGAUAGAGAAAAUUUGAUGCUGGACUGUGAUGAUGCCCUGUUUGCGGAAAAUCAAGAUCAGAAACCUGAAAACACUUUGCGGGAGUCACACUCUCUACGCAAAGUAUAUAUACAUUAAAGAACUGGCAAGGACCUCCAGGACAGUGUUGA
rnacentral:lncRNA from 10 species